rnacentral:rRNA from 1 species
GGUUAAGUGACUAAGCGUACACGGUGGAUGCCUUGGCAGUCAGAGGCGAUGAAGGACGUAUUAACUUGCGAUAAGCCCAGAUUAGGCAGUAAAAGCCACUUGAGUCUGGGAUUUCCGAAUGGGGGAAACCCACCUGCAUAAGCAGGUAUCAUUAUCUGAAUACAUAGGGUAAUGAAGCGAACCGGGGGAACUGAAACAUCUAAGUACCCCGAGGAAAAGAAAUCAACCGAGAUUCCGAAAGUAGCGGCGAGCGAAAUUGGAUUAGCCCUUAAGCCUUUAAUGCGUCAGGUGAAAGUUCUGGAAAGGUCUGCGAUACAGGGUGAUAGCCCCGUAACCGGCAGCGCAUUUUAGGUGAAAUCGAGUAGGGCGGGACACGUGAUAUCCUGUCUGAAUAUGGGGGACCAUCCUCCAAGGCUAAAUACUACUGACUGACCGAUAGUGAACCAGUACCGUGAGGGAAAGGCGAAAAGAACCCCUGUGAGGGGAGUGAAAUAGAACCUGAAACCGUGUACGUACAAGCAGUAGGAGCACCCUCGUGGUGUGACUGCGUACCUUUUGUAUAAUGGGUCAGCGACUUAUAUUCAGUAGCAAGGUUAACCAUCUAGGGGAGCCGUAGAGAAAUCGAGUCUUAACUGGGCGUCGAGUUGCUGGAUAUAGACCCGAAACCAGGUGAUCUAGCCAUGGGCAGGUUGAAGGUUGAGUAACAUCAACUGGAGGACCGAACCGACUAAUGUUGAAAAAUUAGCGGAUGACUUGUGGCUAGGGGUGAAAGGCCAAUCAAACCUGGAGAUAGCUGGUUCUCCCCGAAAUCUAUUUAGGUAGAGCCUCGGACGAAUACUACUGGGGGUAGAGCACUGUUAAGGCUAGGGGGUCAUCCCGACUUACCAACCCUUUGCAAACUCCGAAUACCAGUAAGUACUAUCCGGGAGACACACGGCGGGUGCUAACGUCCGUCGUGGAGAGGGAAACAACCCAGACCGCCAGCUAAGGUCCCAAAUUACAGCUAAGUGGGAAACGAUGUGGGAAGGCUUAGACAGCUAGGAUGUUGGCUUAGAAGCAGCCAUCAUUUAAAGAAAGCGUAAUAGCUCACUAGUCGAGUCGGCCUGCGCGGAAGAUGUAACGGGGCUAAGCUGUAAACCGAAGCUGCGGCAAUGCAUUUUAUGUAUUGGGUAGGGGAGCGUUCUGUAAGCCGUUGAAGGUGAGUUGUAAAGCUUGCUGGAGGUAUCAGAAGUGCGAAUGCUGACAUGAGUAACGAUAAAGGGGGUGAAAAACCUCCUCGCCGGAAGACCAAGGGUUCCUGUCCAACGUUAAUCGGGGCAGGGUAAGUCGACCCCUAAGGCGAGGCCGAAAGGCGUAGUCGAUGGGAAACGGGUUAAUAUUCCCGUACUUCUUACAAUUGCGAUGGGGGGACGGAGAAGGCUAGGUGGGCCUGGCGACGGUUGUCCAGGUUCAAGUGCGUAGGCUUGAGAGUUAGGUAAAUCCGGCUCUCUCUAAGGCUGAGACACGAUGUCGAGCACCUACGGGUGUGAAGUCAUUGAUGCCAUGCUUCCAGGAAAAGCCUCUAAGCUUCAGAUUGUAAGGAAUCGUACCCCAAACCGACACAGGUGGUCGGGUAGAGAAUACCAAGGCGCUUGAGAGAACUCGGGUGAAGGAACUAGGCAAAAUGGUACCGUAACUUCGGGAGAAGGUACGCUCUUGACGGUGAAGUCCCUUGCGGAUGGAGCUAUUGAGAGUCGCAGAUACCAGGUGGCUGCAACUGUUUAUUAAAAACACAGCACUGUGCAAAAUCGUAAGAUGACGUAUACGGUGUGACGCCUGCCCGGUGCCGGAAGGUUAAUUGAUGGGGUUAGACGUAAGUCGAAGCUCUUGAUCGAAGCCCCGGUAAACGGCGGCCGUAACUAUAACGGUCCUAAGGUAGCGAAAUUCCUUGUCGGGUAAGUUCCGACCUGCACGAAUGGCGUAAUGAUGGCCACGCUGUCUCCACCCGAGACUCAGUGAAAUUGAAAUCGCUGUGAAGAUGCAGUGUACCCGCGGCUAGACGGAAAGACCCCGUGAACCUUUACUACAGCUUGGCACUGAACAUUGACCCUACAUGUGUAGGAUAGGUGGGAGGCUUUGAACCCGGUACGCCAGUAUCGGUGGAGCCGUCCUUGAAAUACCACCCUUGUAGUGUUGAUGUUCUAACUUAGACCCGUUAUCCGGGUUGAGGACAGUGCCUGGUGGGUAGUUUGACUGGGGCGGUCUCCUCCCAAAGAGUAACGGAGGAGCACGAAGGUGGGCUAAUCACGGUUGGACAUCGUGAGGUUAGUGCAAUGGCAUAAGCCCGCUUGACUGCGAGAAUGACAAUUCGAGCAGGUGCGAAAGCAGGUCAUAGUGAUCCGGUGGUUCUGAAUGGAAGGGCCAUCGCUCAACGGAUAAAAAGGUACUCCGGGGAUAACAGGCUGAUACCGCCCAAGAGUUCAUAUCGACGGCGGUGUUUGGCACCUCGAUGUCGGCUCAUCACAUCCUGGGGCUGAAGUCGGUCCCAAGGGUAUGGCUGUUCGCCAUUUAAAGUGGUACGCGAGCUGGGUUUAGAACGUCGUGAGACAGUUCGGUCCCUAUCUGCCGUGGGCGUUGGAAGAUUGAAGGGGGCUGCUCCUAGUACGAGAGGACCGGAGUGGACGAACCUCUGGUGUUCGGGUUGUCAUGCCAAUGGCAUUGCCCGGUAGCUAAGUUCGGAAUCGAUAACCGCUGAAAGCAUCUAAGCGGGAAGCGAGCCCUGAGAUGAGUCUUCCCUGACCCCUUGAGGGUCCUAAAGGGUUGUUCGAGACUAGAACGUUGAUAGGCAGGGUGUGUAAGCGUUGUGAGGCGUUGAGCUAACCUGUACUAAUUGCCCGUGAGGCUUAACCAU